rfam:Yersinia ruckeri strain 37551 YRO1b0000025, whole genome shotgun sequence.
CAAGACGGUCCACUGACGCAUACCGCAAAACUCAAAUAUACUUGUUAAGACAACCUUGAAAACUUGAGGGGUGACCUCAUUUAAUCUCCAGUAGCAGUCUUGACAUGUAUUGGAGGUGUUAUGCGUUUGGAUCGUCUUAC